UGCUGCUGGAAACAAUUCUCUUGCAAUCACAAAAUUUGGAGACUGCUUAAAUAUCAGGAGAAGUGUUUGGGGGAGAAAAACAUCCUACUCGGAGAAAUGAUGGAAUUUUCAGCAGAUUUACUGAUUUUCCAUUAAGGGAGAGUGAAAGACUCCAAAGGAAGAAAGCAAUGGAAUAUUAUAAACAAGUGAUAACAAUAAAGGAAAAUGCAAGCACUCUGGCCAACUUUUCAUGCGUCAGGAAGCAGCUGAGCACCAUAAAUUAGGCAGAGCACCAUGCUCAACCACACUUCUCUCAUGUCAGUGUGUCACAUCUUUCCUCAAAUUCUGUUUAAGACACUUUGUAUAGGGAGAGCCUUCUCACGGAUAACCAUGACACUAAGUAACACGGCACCUGAAGUAACAAAUGGCUCUUCACAUGGGCCCACCUUGGAUUUUACUUAUGGAAUGCAGGACAGAAUGCCUCAGACCUGGCCCAGAGAUUCGAAGGUACUUUCUGAUUAAAGAUAAAAACUUAGAAACUUAAAAUGAAAUGAAAGUUAA